rnacentral:lncRNA from 1 species
CUGAAUAUAAAGAACUUUAUUCUGUAAGCUUUCGAUUGCAUUGUUUCUCAUUACUAUCAGCAGUUAAAAUCUCUUUCCAACACAAAUAUUUUUUGUCUGUUCUAAACAAGAAACAUCUUGUAAGAACAAAGUGUUAUACAACACUCAAAACUCUCAAUUCUUUUUCCCUCGUCAAUUUUUCAGCAACUUUUUAAUGGAUGAAAACCAAGUCUUUAGCAAAGUAAUCUGAUAAUGGUAUUUCUAGUGUUAUAUUCAAGCGUUGCGAUGUUGGUCUAUUUUUCUUGAUACUCCUUAAGAGUUAUUUUAGCCUUUUAAGUGGUACUUGAGAGUCAGCUAUUUCAGAUUCUAAAGCCUGUUAAGUCUCAUAGCUUUCUAGGACGCUGUUCCUCUGCCAUUUAUCAUAAGCACUGUGUUUUGUUCUCAGCUGAAUGACAUUUGGAAGAAUUAAAAACUGCAGUGGGAUCAUCCAAGUGGCAGUUCAAAGGCGAUAUUUUGUUUCCAAUUGACAGCAAGAUGCCUGCUGGAGCUAGUGAGACUGAGCAGAUUGCAGUGGGAUAGUCUGGCUAUUUUCAAGCUGCACCGUACAGCUUGGAGUCUGAACAAUCCAUUCAAGCCUGGGGGAUCUGCGAUAUGGUUAGCAGGCAGCUGCAAAUUAGCCAGCCCACAGCUAUGCAAAGGAUAAUGGAAUCAAGCAUUGCUAACUGCUAGAAAGACUGACAGUCUAGAGAGGAGUUCCCAGAAAGAAAAAAAAAAAGAAAGAAAAAAAAAUGCAAGGAAACAAUAUAACACAUCCCCUCAAGUUGUCUCCUGGAUAUAUGAGAAGACAUGAAUCAGAAUCAGAUAUAAUAGUUAAAGAGAUGGCCUCUCCAGAUCACAGAAUCACAGAAUCACAGAAUGACCUCAGAUCAUCCAUCUGAUCAAUAGAGCUGCAUCUACAUUAAAAGUUUAUGUAGAUAAGCUGGUGUUGUUCCAUAUAAAUAAAUUUUAGCUACAUUUUGAGAUGUUCUUUACA